AACGAACGCUGGCGGCAUGCCUCAUACAUGCAAGUCGAACGAGGUCUUCGGACCUAGUGGCGCACGGGUGAGUAACAUGUGGGAAUCUACCUGAAGGUUCGGAAUAACUGCGGGAAACUGUAGCUAAUACCGGAUGUGUCUGCAAAGAGAAAGAUUUAUCGCCUUCAGAUGAGCCCGCACUAGAUUAGCUAGUUGGUGAGGUAAUUGCUCCACCAAGGCUCCGAUCUAUAGCUGAUUUGAGAGGAUGAUCAGCCACACUGGGACUGAGACACGGCCCAGACUCCUACGGGAGGCAGCAGUAGGGAAUAUUGGACAAUGGGGGAAACCCUGAUCCAGCAAUGCCGCGUGAGUGAAGAAGGCCUUCGGGUUGUAAAGCUCUUUCAUAAAUGAUGAUAAUGACAUUAGUUUAAGAAGAAGCCCCGGCUAACUUCGUGCCAGCAGCCGCGGUAAUACGAAGGGGGCUAGCGUUGUUCGGAAUCACUGGGCGUAAGGCGUAUGUAGGCGGAUCAAAAAGUUAGAUGUGAAAUCCCUGGGCUCAACCCAGGAACUGCAUUUAAAACUAGUGAUCUAGAAUUUGGUAGGGGUUAGUAGAAUUUCCAGUGUAGAGGUGAAAUUCGUAGAUAUUGGAAAGAAUACCAGUGGCGAAGGCGACUAACUGGGCCAUUUUUGACGCUGAGAUACGAAAGCGUGGGUAGCAAACAGGAUUAGAUACCCUGGUAGUCCACGCAGUAAACGAUGAGUGCUAGUCGCUGGGACAAUAGUUUCAGUGUCGAAGCUAACGCAUUAAGCACUCCGCCUGGGAAGUACGGUCGCAAGAUUAAAACUCAAAUAAAUUGACGGGGGCCCGCACAAGCGGUGGAGCAUGUGGUUUAAUUCGAAGCAACGCGAAGAACCUUACCAGACCUUGACAUGGUAUGUUUGAAUUACAGAAUCGUAAUUCUUCAGUUCGGCUGGCAUACACACAGGUGCUGCAUGGCUGUCGUCAGCUCGUGUCGUGAGAUGUUGGGUUAAGUCCCGCAACGAGCGCAACCCUCAUUCUUAGUUGCCAUCAGGUUAAGCUGGGCACUCUAAGAAAACUGCCGGUGAUAAGCUGGAGGAAGGCGGGGAUGACGUCAAGUCCUCAUGGCCCUUACGGUCUGGGCUACACACGUGCUACAAUGGUGGUGACAGUGGGCAGCAAUACUGCAAAGUAAAGCUAAUCCCAAAAAACCAUCUCAGUUCGGAUUGGACUCCGCAACUCGAGUCCAUGAAGUUGGAAUCGCUAGUAAUCGUAGAUCAGCGUGCUACGGUGAAUACGUUCUCGGGCCU
rnacentral:rRNA from 1 species